CCUACGGGGGGCAGCAGUGGGGAAUAUUGCACAAUGGGGGAAACCCUGAUGCAGCGACGCCGCGUGAGUGAAGAAGUAUUUCGGUAUGUAAAGCUCUAUCAGCAGGGAAGAAAAUGACGGUACCUGACUAAGAAGCCCUGGCUAACUACGUGCCAGCAGCCGCGGUAAUCCGUAGGGGGCAAGCGGUGUCCGGAUUUAUGGGGGGGAAAGGGAGCGUAAACGGCAGAGCAGAUUUGAAGUGAAAGGCCGGGGCCCAACUGCGGGACUGCUUUGGAAACUGCCCGGCUAGAGUGCUGGAGAGGUAAGCGGAAUUCCUAGUGUAGCGGUGAAAUGCGUAGAUAUUAGGAGGAACACCAGUGGCGAAGGCGGCUUACUGGACAGUAACUGACGUUGAGGCUCGAAAGCGUGGGGAGCAAACAGGAUUAGAUACCCUUGUAGUC
rnacentral:rRNA from 1 species